ACGAACUGAGCUCUGCUUUUUAAAAUCUGAUGAUUUUCAAUUUUUCGCAUAAGACAUACCACGCAUAUCAUAAAAUUCAAGAAAAAUACGUGCCGACUGGUAUCGCGUUAAACAAAGUUGGCAGAACUGCUGCCAGCAGGUAUCGUUUCUCCCGUAAACGACUUCCGGCACGUUACACCCCACUCGGCAAACAGUUUCACUCGCCACCCCUCUACUACGACCGGUUUUCACAUUACCAAGCUUUAAAAUCGCGGGAGUCCUCGGUUGCUGCAGCAGACAGUUCGCGACGCGAUGGAGCACACGAAGAUACCGCGGUAGUGCCGUCGUGUGUUCAACUAACGGCGUGCUUGUAUCCUCGCGGAAAAUUCGUUGAAGGCGUCGAGGUUUACCCACGUAAACGUCUUCAUUCCGCUCGCGGUGUACGGUCGGAUGACCCGCGGAAGCGCGCUCCACUCUAGAGUGGAAUCAAGCGGCUUCAACCGGGUCUAACCGACCUCGAGGCAAGCUCCAGCGUUGGCCCCAGACUCUGGCUCGACGUGAAAUGGGUGCGACGUCGCCAUUGCGACGUCGACGACGACGACGACGACAACGACGAGCAUUUCGAAGCGGAGCACGUAAUUAAUGAGAAGGACGGGGCUUAACGUGUUCUGACAAACCGUGCCUGUCCACCACACUUAUGACGACCACGGCCACGACCACGACCACGACCACGACCACGAUCACGCGCAUGGGAAUCCUAGGGGCAGGGACAAAGGAAACUCCGUAGUCAGCCAGAGACAACGUUAGGGUUUGGUUCGGGGCGAAGGUAACACGAGGACGGAGAGCUCUGGAGAAAAAGGGAGCUCGCGAAGGGAAAAAGGAGGAGGAAAUACAAAGUGACACGAAGAAGGGAAAAUAAAGGGUGAGAAUACGAGGAGAGAGUGAAAGAAAAGCGAAAAGAAGUCUGGAACGAGAGAGAGAAUUUUAUGGAGAUUAGUAUCUAACUUGUAUGGAGUAUCUAACUUGGAGACUAAGAAACAGCCUGGAUAAAGUGGCGUGCGAAAGAUACUGCGAGAAAACAGUAAAUUGACUGAAAGAACUAGAAAAGAAAGAGGAAGGCAAAGAAAACCGAAGGAAGGAUUAUCGUCGAUUUUUCAACGCGACUUCGAUACAAACGCGCUUACAACGGACCGACUCGUUAGCAGAGAUGAUAUAUACACACGAGAGAGACGGUUUCCCGCGAAAGGAACUCGUAAUUACGCGGUGGUACGAUCACUUUGAAAGAAGCUGGUUCCCCAUACAAAGGGGAAACUAUAACGAGAACCGAGAAAUGGAUUGACACACGUGCACGAAGUCCGGUUGGAAGAAGAUAAUCUUGGAAACUCGUUAAGCCCUUUGAACCUCACCACGAUAAGAAUUGUGUUUCCUUGCACUUGAAGUAGCACCGACGAUUCUUCUAUCUUUGCAGAAAAAUCAUUUUCGAACGUCUUGCAGGAAACGUUAUCUUGUGAGUUAUUUAUUUCGCAGGUUCGAUUACUUUUUAUUGGAAAUCACGUUUCUCUGCUUUUAAUCUUUCAUAAUUUUCUCAUCGUGAAAUAGAUAAUAGAAUCUUUCGUUGUACGCGUUUCGAUCGUUCUCGAAACUUACCUAUGUUGUUACCCAAUUAAUUGCUAUUCAUGUCGCUCGAAUCUAAUCACUGUGCCUGAAAAAGAGGCUCAUUAUCCGAACAGCGUAUCCCUGAAUUACUUCCAACAAUCGAGACCCCGCAGCGCUUCACUGAAUCCGUCGGUCGCUCCUAAACAAUCGCCAGCGUGAAAUCUGAUUUGUACGCGUUCGAAAAUUUAUGCAGAUAUAAACGAUCGUUAAUCGGAUACAAACGACGGAUUAACGAGCGAUCGCGUGCGCGUUCUCACGGUUCGAUCGCGCUGCCCAAAAAUCCACCGAUAAUUACAACCUACUCGACCCGAAUGCCUUAGCCCUGUCAGCGAUUUUUCUAUCGUCACUGAGCCGAGACACGGGCAAAAUUAAGUAAUCGUCCGUUCUACUAUUAGUAAAAUUACUAUUAAAUACAAAAUAUUUAUAAAUUUGUUGGAUUCUUUGUAUAAAUAAAAACUUUUCUAGCGUUCGAUAAGAAAAGGUUCAUAUUUUAUGAAAACGUGAUUUCUAUAUCUUUGCGAACAUUCCAAGAGGAUACAGGUAGUUUGAAAAUGAAAUUACAACCUGUACGUAGAUAUAUAGCCGCCAAUAGAAGCCAAUAGAAGGAAUGUACGAAAAAAGAAAAUAGAACGAACCCACAAAAAUUAUGUAUGUCAUGUAUACGUAUCUACAAUACGUACAUAAAAGUUUUCUAUGGUUGUAAGUAAAUAUUUUUGUGAGGCAGUGUACAUUACUCUGUUUCAGUUUCCACUCGCUGCAGAAAAUUCCAUCGCUCCUACGAUAUUGCUUGUUGUUCGAAUUUUAAUUUCCAAAGCAACUUUUCACUGUGGCCUCCGACACCCUUAACAAUACCUGUCUCUCUCUCUUUCUUUCUCUCUCUCUCUCUCUCUCUCUCUCUCUCUCCCUCUCUUUCUCCGUUCUACCGCCAACUACAGACACCGUUUUGGCUUACUGUUGUCAUCUGCCACCUCGGUCGCGAGGUCAGCUACCUCCACCCAUUUGAAACUUCCGUUUCACGCUCCUCCUUCGACAAUUGCCACCAACUCCGUCCCUCUCAUAGCGCAACCCUGCUUGCGUUUCCGUUUAUGUUUAUGCUUUAUGGAAGUUCCAUAUUAAAUUUAUGACGUCGCUCCGAGUUUUAUGAUUUCGUGGUUGUAAACACCCUUACAGAUUUACGUCCGAAAUUGGAAUUAAAAUCCGCGGACUGACAUCGAACAGCCCUCUGCGUUGUUUAUCGUCGAUAUUGGGCAGGGGUGAGACUGGAGAGUCGAAAGGUUUUCCGUAGGGUGAGGUAGAAUAAGGUCGAAACGGAAGGACCAGACUCUGAUCGAACCCGAGGACCAUUGUCCAACUAGAAAUUAGAUCGCCGUUGGUCCAACCGAAAUAAUGCCGCUUUUAAACAAUCCCGCCCGAUAGAUCUUUUGCGAAUCGAUGGUAGAAUGGAAAACGAUAGCUCCAAACAGUGAAUUGAAACUGCGAUGUCACGUCGAACCUUUUAUAAAUCAAUGUGCCUGUUUAAUAAAAAUUUAUACGUGUUUCGUACGAGUGAAAUAGUAGAAUACAAGUUCGUUUGUGAACUUGUAUGGUAUUCUUAAAGGCUAUGAACGUUGAAAUUAAAUUAUAAAUUAAGGUAUUGUAUAUAAAUAUAUACCUUUUGUCUUCUUUUAUAAGACUAGUGUCUUAAUACUGUCAGAGCUUCUACUUCGUAAUUUAUAAGUAGCUUAGAAGCUACUAAAUAUAUUCUAAAGAAAUAAAAAGGAUUAAAUAUUAAAUUUCUGAGAAGUAUAUCGAUUAAAAAGGAUCUUCGUGAAGUUCAAAUACUAUUUUAAGUGAAAUGAAACUCACUAAAUUUUUUUUUAUUUUACUCUUAUUGAACAUAUACAUAAAAAGUGUUU